rnacentral:rRNA from 1 species
GAUGAACGCUGGCGGCGUGCCUAACACAUGCAUGUCGAGCGGCAGCGAGGGGUGCUUGCACCCUGUCGGCGAGCGGCGGACGGCUGAGUAACGCGUGGGAACGUGCCCCAAAGUGAGGAAUAACUGCCCGAAAGGGUAGCUAAUACCGCAUAUUAUCUUCGGAUCAAAGGAUUUAUCCGCUUUGGGAGCGGCUCGCGUCGGAUUAGGUAGUUGGUGAGGUAAUGGCUCACCAAGCCGACGAUCCGUAGCUGGUCUGAGAGGAUGACCAGCCAGACUGGAACUGAGACACGGUCCAGACUCCUACGGGAGGCAGCAGUGAGGAAUCUUCCACAAUGGGCGAAAGCCUGAUGGAGCAACGCCGCGUGCAGGACGAAGGCCUUCGGGUUGUAAACUGCUUUUAUAAGUGAGGAAUAUGACGGUAACUUAUGAAUAAGGAUCGGCUAACUACGUG